UACGUAGGGACCAAGCGUUGUUCGGAUUUACUGGGCGUAAAGGGCGCGUAGGCGGCAUGACAAGUCACUUGUGAAAUCUCCGGGCUUAACUCGGAACGGUCAAGUGAUACUGUCGCGCUAGAGUGCGGAAGGGGCAAUCAGAAUUCUUGGUGUAGCGGUGAAAUGCGUAGAUAUCAGGAGGAACACCGGUGGCGAAGGCGGGUCUCUGGGCCGUAACUGACGCUGAGGAGCGAAAGCAUGGGGAGCGAACAGG
rnacentral:rRNA from 1 species